AUGGCGUAGAGCGGAGGGUGUGCGGCGGAGGGGACGAGGGGACCUUCUUCUCUCCUCUCCGGCGUGGAAGGAGGGAGAGAAGGGGGCCCGGAGGAUUUCGCUAUAAUCUUUUCUAAAUGUGUCCCCAGCCGGAGCGGUCCUUCCUCACAGGAAAAGCCGGUAUGCGUCCAGUUUGGGAGACCUAAAUGUGUCACCGUAGAGGAAGAACCACCCCCCACGGCUUUUGUUUACCAUUGUGUGUAGCUGCAGCCCAAACCACAGCCGAAAUAUCUCUGCAUCGUUUCGGACCAACUCACACCAAGGAUGGGUUUUCCAGUUAAUGCAGUCAUGAAACCAGCUGAAGCCCAGUGCGGAGGAACAUCUUCCUUCAGAUCAGGCCAGGCCUCACUGACAGAUCACUCCCACCACCACCACCCAGACCCGUGGAGAUAAAGAACGAAGAGUCAGUGAGAAGAUGACCUCUUUUGGGGUUUUGGGACACGGGUGCCCUCUUUCCUGCUGUUGCUGUGACAAUGGCCCUUUCUCCUCCACAGUAUCCCCUCUUGUCCUGGCCUGUUUCUGCAGCAUGAUCAUCAGUGAGGACAUAUUUCAGUAUUUUGGGCUAGUCUGACUUCCAUCACGCACACUCUAUGUCUACAUGUAGCCUAAUUCUGGCUGAGAUACCAUGGAGUUUCUGCACUGGCUAUAUUUGUCUGAAAGUCUCCAUAAUUUGGACAUUUUCAGUCAGAUUUUUGUCAGAUUCUUUUCAGACUUCAUGUAAACAUAGUAACUGUUUUUCCUGAAUAAGUAAAAAAAAAAAUCCCCACUUUCAUUUUAAUAACACCAGAGCAGGUUGAUAAACAAAUUAACUGCUCCUGUUUUCUGGGACGAAAGUAAAGACACAAGAUACUGUAGCAAAGAUCAAGGCCUGUGAUCAAAUUACUUAUUGGGUGUCUUUUCUUUUUUUUUUUUUGCUUUUUGCUCUACCUCAUCGCCAUAACAAGUCCAACAGGAGUGAAAGGGAGUGUGAUCAGUACAAGUAGCUUAAUGGUUGUCAAGCACCACAGCAGUUUUACAUAUUGUUCCUGGAUGAAUUUAGAGGGUUAAUAAGUGAGGUUGUGAACAGGUGAAUAGGAGAAGACUGAGUAGCCCACAUGCACAUGAUGCACAGUGUCAUUUACUUUAAUUUCAGCCAUUUUUAGAAAAACACUGACUCACUCAGACUGUGGUCUCCAGUGCAUCUGUUCUAAAGGAAGGCCACAAGAUCGUAGUUUUACUCCAUUAUUGUUGUGUUUCAGGUUUACAGUGCUCUCCUUUGUCAAGUCUGCAGGUUUAAUCAAUUGUAGGCAGAGACAGAAGUGCUGAUAUUUCCCUUAUGACUUAAUUCUUGAGGUCCCAAAUUUUUGGCAACUUAUAGUAUUUAAAGUUCUUCUUUUAUUAUGAAGGUCUAGUUCACUUUUCGUACCUUAGUAUACUCUUCAUUUUGUCUUUUUUCUUUAACAUACUUUUAAUUUGUCUUUCCCCGGCAUAUAUUCUCAUUUUAUCCUUUUCAUACUUUAACAUGUUCUUAUUUUUUCUAACACUCACCCCCUUAGUGUUAGCUUUCAUUUAUCCAUGUUGUAACCUUAUGAGAUGUAUAAAUAGGCAAUUUUUAACACACUGCCCGUAGAGACAGAACAGAUCAUUUGAUUUCUUCUGUUCCAAGAACCAUGAGACAAAAUAAUCCAAAAAAACUAAGUGGAAAACAUUGUGUUUUGUCUCUAAACUGCUAUUUUGAUGUGUCCAGUAAGUUGAGAGACACCAGCGCUGAAACAUCAGCUUUAAUUCACCUUGUAUUUAUCCUUAUCUGAAGGAAACCCUGGUCUCAUUUUUUUCAGUCUUCUUUGUUAAUUUUUAUAUGAUUUAUACGAGAAAACCCACAUUUACCGGGAUUUGUGCAAUAUUUGAUCUUAACUGUCAUUUUGUUGACCAAACUGUAUAUUGUAUAAACAAGUGACAAGUUGUUUGAAAGCAACAAAAUCACCAAUGUCUUCCAUUAAGAUAUGUAUAGACUCGUGCAUUAGCUUAUUUAGCGGGACUGUGGUGCCAACAUUAUAGUAGCCAUGCAUGACCAGUAGUGAUGCUUGCUUCAUGAAGAAUAGUGAAAUUGAUUUCUAGACUAAGCUGGAGCUCAAAACUGUGGAAACUAUUUCAGUAAAAUUAAAGGGUGGUAGACUGACGUACUAAACCUUCAAAUACACCACAUCUAGACACAGCUUUGCCCUAAAACCUUAGAUGAAUGCAAGAUCUCCUUUUUAUUCCAUGUCUAGGUUGUAUAAUGAAAAUAUGCUCAAUAUAAGUUAGUGCUUUCUGACAGACCUGCUGUAUGUUCUUAGGAUUCUUAUCUUAAAAAAGAUGAUGUCCUAAAAUGUACUUGUGCACUCUCAAGCAUCAAAAGACUUAGGUAGUUAUUAAGUGACAGCCAAAAAGCUCCCAAGACACAAGUCUCAGACGCGACAAUGAUAGAAACCUUUAAAUGUCAUAUUAAGAGUAGUACCUUAAUCCUAGACUCGGAUCUAAUUGGUAGGGAUCCGACGUGGUGUUUUAGUCCUAGAAUUAAGAUCUCACCAUGACAUUAUAUUGUACAUAAUACCUCAUAGUUUUGGGAUUCAGAGCGUUAUAUUUUAAUCCAUAAAAUUGUAUUUGAUUAGAGUUUUAGAAGCAAUAACCUACAAUAAUGCAUGAGUUUAGUGCCAGGGUGUAAGUGUUAAGGAUUCUGCAACGUCACGUGGAAAGGACCCCCCACUCCCACCCCCUUUUCAUGCCUAUGGUAGCAAUCUAUCUAUCAGACACUUUUUUGGGGAGUCGUAUAAUAUUUGGCUUUAGAAUACAGUAUCACUUAUGAAGGUUUGGGAUACUUCACAAGGUGUACCUGAGGACUGCUGUAGCAUAACGGUAUUACAUUGACAAAUUUAACUAAAUACUUAUAUUUUUCAGAGACUAUUUUCCCUGCCUUGUAUGCUUUCAACACCAAAACAAUAAUGUAAACCAACCGGUACAUGAGAGAUGCUUUAAAUUUCAAUUCUUGUAGCAUUUUACAUCCACAAAACCCACCCCUUCCUUUAGAAAUAUAGGCUUUCAGAAACUCUGUGGCUGCAAAGUACUUACUGAACGAACUUGACAUGUCUGAAAAGCACUUUCUUUCUAUGUACUGACUUGCACCAUCAUCAUCACCAUCCUGUCUUGAAUACUGUGUUCUAAAAACCCUGUAAUGCUCUUUGUGGGGAUUUAUAAUCAAUUUAUAAGCAAGUAGGCGUCUAGCAACAUGAAUAUAUGGGUUUAAAAAAUAUGCAUGACCUAGCAGAAUAAUGAAUGAUUUGUAUUGCAUGCAAUAAUCCAACUUUGUAAUGUGAAUGAGUGUAAAAUUAGGAUAUUGAAAUGUUCAUAUCAGAUGUUCUGUGACAACUUGGGGACGGUUGUCUGACACAACAGCAAGCAUGUUGAAGUACUUUUGAUCAUCAGUUGUGGUUUUUACAGACUAAACAGCACCAAAAAAAAAAGAUGUAACGGAGAGUAGUUUUAAGUGUUUCUGCUCUCACUCUCUGUUGUGUCAUGACCAUGGCAGUAGUGCAACAGUGCAGCUGAAAAACACUGAUCAACCUUUGUUCCCAUGAAAAAAACAACAACAAAAAAACACAAAAGCUUAGGUAAGAAGAUUAAUAACAUUACUUUGUUGAUCAACUUUUCCACUGAGGAGGUGGACUGUGUAGAAACUAUGCACUCCAGACGGAGGAAGUGGGCAUGCUUAUUAUGUGUGAGCCUCUUGUCUGGUUUUGUAUUAAUAAAAAAAAAAAAAAGAAUCUGUAUCAGAAA